rnacentral:rRNA from 1 species
UACGGAGGGUGCAAGCGUUAUCCGGAUUUACUGGGUUUAAAGGGUGCGUAGGUGGAUAAGUAAGUCAGUGGUGAAAUCUCCGGGCUUAACCCGGAAACUGCCAUUGAUACUAUUUGUCUUGAAUACUUUGGAGGUAAGCGGAAUAUGUCAUGUAGCGGUGAAAUGCUUAGAUAUCUGGAGGAACACCGGUGGCGAAGGCGGCAUCCUGGACCAACACUGACGCUGAGUGAGCGAAAGCCAGGGGAGCAAACGGG